UACAGAGGUCUCAAGCGUUGUUCGGAUUCAUUGGGCGUAAAGGGUGCGUAGGCGGCGCGGUAAGUCGGGUGUGAAAGCCCGGAGCUCAACUCCGGAACUGCCUUUGAGACUGUAUCGCUUGAACACGGGAGAGGUGAGUGGAAUUCCGAGUGUAGAGGUGAAAUUCGUAGAUAUUCGGAAGAACACCAGUGGCGAAGGCGACUCGCUGGACAAGUAUUGACGCUGAGGUGCGAAAGCGUGGGGAGCAAACAGG
rnacentral:rRNA from 1 species